GAUGAACGCUAGCGGCAGGCCUAAUACAUGCAAGUCGAACGGUGUCUUCGGACAUAGUGGCGCACGGGUGCGUAACACGUAUGCAACCUACCUUACAUUGGGGGAUAGCCUUUCGAAAGGGAGAUUAAUACCGCAUAAGACAGUAACUAGGCAUCUAGUAGCUGUUAAAGAUUUAUCGAUGUAAGCUGGGCAUGCGUCCAAUUAGCUAGUUGGUGAGGUAACGGCUCACCAAGGCAAUGAUUGGUAGGGGAACUGAGAGGUCAAUCCCCCACACGGGCACUGAGAUACGGGCCAGACUCCUAUGGGAGGCAGCAGUAGGGAAUAUUGGGCAAUGGACGCAAGUCUGACCCAGCCAUGCCGCGUGCAGGAUGAAGGCGUUAUGCGUUGUAAACUGCUUUUAUACAGGAAGAAACGACUCUUGCGAGAGGCAUUGACGGUACUGUAUGAAUAAGCACCGGCUAACUCCGUGCCAGCCGCCGCCGUAAAAC
rnacentral:rRNA from 1 species